UGCAGCCCUUACUACCCUAACCCUAACUACUGCAGCCCUAACUACCGCAGCCCUUACUACCUAACCCUAACUACUGCAGCCCUAACUACUGCAGCCCUUACUACCCUAACCCUAACAGCUGCAGCCCUUACUACCCUAACCCUAACUACUGCAGCCCUAACUACCGCAGCCCUUACUACCCUAACCCUAACUACUGCAGCCCUAACUACUGCAGCCCUUACUACCCUAACCCUAACUACUGCAGCCCUAACUACCGCAGCCCUUACUACCCUAACCCUAACUACUGCAGCCCUAACUACUGCAGCCCUUACUACCCUAACCCUAACAGCUGCAGCCCUUACUACCCUAACCCAAACUACUGCAGCCCUAACUACUGCAGCCCUUACUACCGCAGCCCUUACUACCCUAACCCUAACUACUGCAGCCCUAACUACCCUAACCCUAACUACUGCAGCCCUUACUAUCCAAACUACUGCAGCCCUGACUACCCUAACCGUAACUACCCUAACCCUAACUACUGCAGCCCUAACUACCCUAACUACUGCAGCCCUAACUACCCUAACCGUAACUACCCUAACCCUAACUACUGCAGCCCUAACUACCCUAACUACUGCAGCCCUAACUACCCUAACCCUAACUACUGCAGCGCUAACUACCCUAACUACUGCAGCCCUAACUACCCUAACCCUAACUACUGCAGCCCUUACUAUCCAAACUACUGCAGCCCUAACUACCCUAACCCUAACUACUGCAGCCCUUACUAUCCAAACUACUGCAGCCCUAACUACCCUAACCCUAACUACUGCAGCCCUAACUACCCUAACUACUGCAGCCCUAACUACCCUAACCCUAACAACUGCAGCCCUUACUACCCUAACUACUGCAGCCCUAACUACCCUAACCCUAACUACUGCAGCCCUUACUACCCUAACUACUGCAGCCCUAACUAUCCUAACCCUAACAACUGCAGCCGUAACUACCCUAACCCUAACUACUGCAGCCCUUACUACCCUAACUACUGCAGCCCUAACUACCCUAACCCUAACAACUGCAGCCCUAACUACCCUAACCCUAACUACUGCAGCCCUAACUACCCUAACCCUAACUACUUCUGGAGUGUUGAUACAAGAAGAGUGA
rnacentral:lncRNA from 1 species